UGGGGAUAUUGCACAAUGGGCGCAAGCCUGAUGCAGCGACGCCGCGUGGGGGAUGAAGGCCUUCGGGUUGUAAACUUCUUUUGCCCUGAACAAGGCGCACUUUGGGGUGUGUUGAGUGUAGGGGUUGAUUAGCGCCGGCUAACUACGUGCCAGCAGCCGCGGUAAUACGUAGGGCGCGCGCGUUGUCCGGAAUUAUUGGGCGUAAAGGGCUUGUAGGUGGCUGGUUGCGUCUGUCGUGAAAGCUCAUGGCUUAACUGUGGGUUUGCGGUGGGUACGGGCUGGCUUGAGUGCAGUAGGGGAGGCUGGAAUUCCUGGUGUAGCGGUGGAAUGCGGAGAUAUCAGGAGGAAUACCGGUGGCGAAGGCGGGUCUCUGGGCUGUUACUGACACUGAGGAGCGAAAGCAUGGGGAGCGAACAGG
rnacentral:rRNA from 1 species